rnacentral:rRNA from 1 species
UGGGGAAUAUUGCACAAUGGAGGGAACUCUGAUGCAGCGACGCCGCGUGAACGAAGAAGGCUUUCGAGUCGUAAAGUUCUUUUAUAUGGGAAGAUAAUGACGGUACCAUAAGAAAAAGCCUCGGCUAACUACGUUCCAGCAGCCGCUGUAAUACGUAGGGGGCUAGCGUUGUCCGGAAUCACUGGGCGUAAAGGGUUCGCAGGCGGAAAUGCAAGUCAGGUGUAAAAGGCAGUAGCUUAACUACUGUAAGCAUUUGAAACUGCAUAUCUUGAGAAGAGUAGAGGUAAGUGGAAUUUUUAGUGUAGCGGUGAAAUGCGUAGAUAUUAAAAAGAAUACCGGAGGCGAAGGCGACUUACUGGGCUCAUUCUGACGCUGAGGAACGAAAGCGUGGGUAGCAAACAGG